CGUAGUUCUCCCUCUCACUCGCGGCCUCUAUUGGAGGAGGGGCCGUAGCUCGUCACGUCCCUGAUUGGCGGAGAGAGCGCGGGACAGAGUCUUGGCGCUGUGGGAGCUGAGGACAGACAGGUCUGAGGAGCAGAGCAGAAGCUCUGGGAAGGAGAUGAGCAAUAUGAAGAUGCAGUGUAAGAUGAGGCCAGCAAGGGAAAAGAAGUCGCGGGGACGGAGUCCAGCCCUGAGGUGAGAUGGAAGGUGAUUGAGAGCAGUGACAGCGUGAAUCCUGUUGAUGCCAGGCAGGACCUGCCCGACUGGGACAAGAGUAACCGUCUC